AUGGAUGGAUGGUACAGCCCAACAGGCCU
rnacentral:piRNA from 1 species